rnacentral:rRNA from 1 species
GAUGAACGCUGGCGGCGUGCCUAAUACAUGCAAGUAGAACGAACAGAUUAUACCGUAGCUUGCUACACCAUAGACUGUGAGUUGCGAACGGGUGAGUAACGCGUAGGUAACCUGCCUGGUAGCGGGGGAUAAAUCUGGGAAUCGAUAGCUAAUACCGCAUAAUAUUCAUUAUUGCAUGAUAAUUAAUUGAAAGGUGCAAUUGUACCACUACCAGCUGGACGUGCGUUGUAUUUGGUAGUAGGAGAGGUCACGGCGCACCUAGGCGAUGACACAUAGCCGACCUGGGAGGGUGGUCCGCCACACUGGGACUGGGACACGGCCCAGACUCCUUCGGGGGGCAGCAGUAAGGGAUCUUCGGCCAUUGGCGGAAAGCUUACCGGGCCACGCCGCGUGAGUGGAGGAAGUUCUCGGGUCGGAAAGCUCUUUUGUUAGGGGAGAACGGGUUUGGGAAUGGAAUGUUCACACUGUGACGGUAUCUAACCAGAAAGCGACGGCUAACUACGUG